rnacentral:rRNA from 2 species
GCCACACUGGGACUGAGACACGGCCCAGACUCCUACGGGAGGCAGCAGUGGGGAAUAUUGCACAAUGGGCGCAAGCCUGAUGCAGCAACGCCGCGUGAGGGAUGACGGCCUUCGGGUUGUAAACCUCUUUUAGCAGGGAAGAAGCGAGAGUGACGGUACCUGCAGAAAAAGCACCGGCUAACUACGUGCCAGCAGCCGCGGUAAUACGUAGGGUGCAAGCGUUAUCCGGAAUUAUUGGGCGUAAAGAGCUCGUAGGCGGUUUGUCGCGUCUGCUGUGAAAUUCCGAGGCUCAACCUCGGGCUUGCAGUGGGUACGGGCAGACUAGAGUGCGGUAGGGGAGAUUGGAAUUCCUGGUGUAGCGGUGGAAUGCGCAGAUAUCAGGAGGAACACCGAUGGCGAAGGCAGAUCUCUGGGCCGUAACUGACGCUGAGGAGCGAAAGGGUGGGGAGCAAACAGGCUUAGAUACCCUGGUAGUCC